UCCUUCGGGGAGGCCAGCCAUGGGGGAAUUUUAGGACAAAUGGGGCGCCAAGCCUGAUCUAGGGAUGCCCGCGUGAAGGUAAUGAAGCCCUUUAGGCCCGUAAAGUUCUUUCGCCCAGGGAAUGAUAAUGCCAGUCCCUGGUAAAGAAACCCCGGCUAACUCCGUGCCAGCAGCCGCGGUAAUACGGAGGGGGUUAGCGUUGUUCGGAAUUACUGGGCGUAAAGCGUACGUAGGCGGAUCAUUAAGUUAGGGGUGAAAUCCCGGGGCUCAACCCCGGAACUGCCUCUAAAACUGCUGGUCUUGAGAUCGUGAGAGGUGAGUGGAAUUCCGAGUGUAGAGGUGAAAUUCGUAGAUAUUCGGAGGAACAUCAGUGGCGAAGGCGGCUCACUGGCACGAUACUGACGCUGAGGUACGAAAGUGUGGGGAGCAAACAGGAUUAGAUACCCUGGUAGUCCACACCGUAAACGAUGAAUGCCAGACGUCAGGGGGCUUGCCCUUUGGUGUCACACCUAACGGAUUAAGCAUUCCGCCUGGGGAGUACGGUCGCAAGUUUAAAACUCAAAUGAAUUGACGG
rnacentral:rRNA from 1 species